rnacentral:rRNA from 1 species
UACGAAGGGGGCUAGCGUUGUUCGGAAUUACUGGGCGUAAAGCGUGCGCAGGCGGCUUCUCAAGUCAGGGGUGAAAGCCCAGAGCUCAACUCUGGAAUUGCCUUUGAGACUGAGUGGCUUGAGUACGAGAGAGGUGAGUGGAAUUCCCAGUGUAGAGGUGAAAUUCGUAGAUAUCGAGAGGAACACCGGUGGCGAAGGCGGCCAACUGGACGAAUACUGACGCUGAGACACGAAAGCGUGGGGAGCAAACAGG